rnacentral:lncRNA from 13 species
CAGGAGGAAGCCGAGGCAGAGGAAAAGAGCACUGGACUUGGAGUCGGCGUGCCUGCCUGCCUACCUCUGGCUUCACGUUCCCGUUUGCAGUGAAAGGGCAUAAUGGUCUGUGGGUCGCGGUGCCCAGCCCCGCCCGCCCCGCCGCCCCUGGCUCGGAGCCUGGCACAGCCCAGGCCCUCUGCUGGAGCCCCAGUCAUGGCAAGACCGACCCAGCCCAGGGAGAUAUAAGAAACUCCUAGAAAUGACAAUAAGUAUGUUAAAUGUAUUUGGAAAUGAAGACUUCAGUUUCCAUGGAGACUUAAAAACAGAUCAACUGAAAAUGGAUAUUCUGAUUAAGAAGAUAUAACAGAAGGCAAUGCUUAAAUAAAUUUUAUUUUAUUUUAAGGUCUGGAAUACAUGUGCGAGACAUGCAGGUUUGUUACACAGCUUAAUGAUCUUAUAGCAGAGAAGAAAGCUGUAUCUUCAAAAUGUAUCAAUUCGAAUAAGGAAAAUCAAGUUAUUCAACAGGAGUUAUUAUCUAUGAAAAAAAGUACAAAAGAAACGUGAAAAACAUGAGGAGGAUAAAAAGAUGUUGGAAAAAUAAACAUUAAAUCU